rnacentral:rRNA from 1 species
UACGGGGGGGGGCAAGCGUUGUUCGGAAUUACUGGGCGUAAAGGGCUCGUAGGUGGCCAACUAAGUCGGACGUGAAAUCCCCAGGCUCAACUUGGGAACUGCGUCCGAUACUGGAUGGCUUGAAUUCGGGAGAGGGAUGCAGAAUUCCAGGUGUAGCGGUGAAAUGCGUAGAUAUCUGGAGGAAUACCGGUGGCGAAGGCGGCAUCCUGGACCGAUAUUGACACUGAUGAGCGAAAGCCAGGGGAGCAAACGGG